GCUGAACACCUUGCCACAUACAUCGCAACGCCACCUUCGCGGGAGGGUGAUUGGAUCUGGCCAGAAAGGCCAGCCAUGCCGAGGUCCCAGGGGACGUGGAGGUGAGGGCUUACACUACCUGGACCUGCGGAGAUGCUGCCUAGCUGCAGCGCGAACCCUGCAUACACAAGGGGACCAUUCAUUCAUGACAGAAUGCCCACCGUGCCGGGACCCACUUCAUCCCUGGGGACACAGUGUGAACUACAGGGACCUGAAACUGACCAAAGAGGCAGACGGAGGCGACAAAUGCAGGGGUAGGGAUUCUAUCUGUACAGACUUCCCUGAUGAGGUGAUAAUGAGACAGAACCCAGCACAAGGAGGAAGACUGGGCUAUGUGAAAAAGCUUUCUAGGUCUGAUUUAGGUUGGAAAAAAUCGUUUUUGGAAGGGCUGUAGGGCAAGCGUGGGGGCAUUGUCUAGGUGGAAAAUGAUGGUCUCAGCAAAUGCAGGGAAGUGGGUGGGUCUCGGAGGCUGGAGGUGGAGCCAACAGAAAGAGGGUGCAGGCUCCUGGAUAGUGGUCUGGGGUUUGGAUGUGCCUUGCUUGUGAUGUCUGUGGGGCAUCUGAGGAACACAGACUUCAUGAAGGCUGUGGGGAAACGUGAGCAAGGGCUCUAGGGCAUACACAUGGCACACAGAACCCGGGCCUGCAAGUGAUCAACACAGGGGUGGGUAUCUACAGAGGAGAGAAGUGGGUCCCAGCCACACUGUGAGCACUCCAGCGUCAGACGCUGGGUGAAGGAGGAGGCACCAGCAACUCCAACUGAGAAUCAGGGCCUGGAGAAGGCGGAAGCCUGGAGGAGGUUAAAUCAAGAAGACUGAGAGAGCAGUGAGGGCUUUUAGUGGUGAGAGAAAGUCCAUAAGUCGCCAAAGAAAAGUCAGAUAAACUAGAAUACAUCAAAGGAAAUCAGCAAAAACCACAUCAGAGUCAAAAGACAAAUGGCCAAAAAACAAAAAAAAUUAAAAAAGGACAAAUGGCAAACCAAAAAACUCUCCACAGGCAAAAGGCUAAUUAACCUCCUAAGUAAAGAGCUACAAUAAAUCAGUAAGAAAGAUCAAUAACCUCAUAGACACAUGGGCAAAGGAUGUGAACAGGACAGGAAAUGUAGCUAAUGCUUAUAUCCCAUAAAAUACACUCCAUCUCCUCCUAGUAAGAAAAAUGCACCUUAGGGCUGAACUCAUCUGCCAUUUCCACACCCUGACUGCAGGGACCCAAGUGUUCCUAUGUAUUGCUGGUAAGCAUAAAUGGGAAGACAGUGUGGUAAAAUCCAUCAAAACAGCAAAUGUCCCACACUUUGUUCAAGUAAUUCAAUUUUUAGGUACUUCUUCAACAGUUGUGUUCCUCCUUGUACUAAGUGACCUACAUACAAGGUUUUCAAUGGUGUGUCCACAGUGAGCCACAGUGGGGUUCUGUGUAGCUACCCAAAGAUGUAGAGCACUUGCUGCUGUGUACUUAAGUUGGAAGAUGCACAAAAAAUGCCAGAUGUGGAACAGGGUGGAGAAUAAGCAUCCAUGUGUGUGUUUUUUUUUUUUUUUUUUUUUUUUUUUUUUUUUUUUGAGACUGAGUCUUGCUGUGUCGCCCAGGCUGGAGUGCAGUGGUGUGAUCUCGGCUCACCGCAACCUCUGCCUCCCGGGUUCAAGCGAUUCUGCUGCUUCAUCUUCCUGAGUAGCUGGGAUUAUAGGCGUGCACCACCAUGCCUGGCUAAUUGUUUGUAUUUUUUUUUUUUUUGAGACGUAGUUUUGCUCUUGUUGCCCAGGUUGGAGUGCAAUGGCGUGUUCUCUGCUCACUGCAAACCUCCAUCUCCUGGGUUCAAGCGGUUCUUCUGCCUCAGUCUCCCGAGUAGCUGGGAUUACAGGCAUGCACCACCACACCCGGCUAAUUUUGUAUUUUUAGUAGAGACAGGGUUUCUCCAUGUUGGUCAGGCUGGUCUCGAACUCCCGACCUCAGGUGAUCUGCCCACUUCAGCCUCCCAAAGUGCUGGGAUUGCAGGCGUGAGCCACCGCACCUAGCCAAUUUUUUGUAUUUUUAGUAGAGACAUGGUUUCACCAUGUUGGCCAGGCUGGUCUCGAUCUCCUGACCUCAUAUGAUCCACCCGCCUCGCCUUCCCAAAGUGCUGGGAUUACAGGUGUGAGCCACCACGCCCAGCCCGUGUGUGUGUGUGCGCACUUGAGACGGAGUCUCGCUCUGUUGCCCAGGCUGGAGUGUAGUGGCGCCAUCUCAGCUCACUGCAAGCUCCGCCUCCCGGGUUCACGCCAUUCUCCUGCCUCAGCCACCCGAGUAGAUGGGACUACAGGCGCCCGCCACCACGCCUGACUAAUAUUUUGUAUUUUUAGUAGAGACGGGGUUUCGCCGUGUUAGCCAGGAUGGUCUCGAUCUCCUGACCUCGUGAUCCGCCCGCCUUGGCCUCCCAAAGUGCUGGGAUUACAGGCGUGACGUGCCGCGCCGGGCCCAUGUGUGUUUUAAAGGAGAGGAAUGGGGCUGGGCACGGUGGCUCACGCCUGUAAUCCCAGCACUUUGGGAGGCCGAGGCGGGUGGAUCACGAGGUCAGGAGAUCGAGACCAUCCUGGCUAACACGGCGAAACCCCGUCUCUACUAAAAAUACAAAAUAUUUAGCCAGGCGUGGUGGCCGGCGCCUGUAGUCCCAGCUACUCGGGAGGCUGAGGCAGGAGAAUGUCGUGAACCCGGGAGGCGGAGCUUGCAGUGAGUCGAGAUUGUGCCACUGCACUCCAGCCUGGGCGACAGAGUGAGACUCCGUCUCAAAAAAAAAAAAAGAAGAGGAAUGGGCCAGGCAUGGUGGCUCACGCCUGUGAUCCCGGCACUUUGGCAGGCAAAGGUGGGCGGAUCACCUGAGGUCGGGAGUUCCAGACCAGCCUGACCAACAUGGGGAAACCCCGUCUCUACUAAAAAAAUACAAAAUUAGCUGGGCGUGGUGGAGCAUGACUGUAAUCUCAGCUACUUGGGAGGCUGAGGCAGGAGAAUGGCUUGAACCGGGAGGUGGAGGUUGCAGUGAGCCGAGAUCGCGCCAUUGCACUCCAGCCUGGGCAACAAGAGCGAAAUUCCAUCUCAAAAGAAAAAAAAAAGGGAAUGAACAUGUGUCUGGGAAUGUCUUUGCUUCUGUAUGUACAGAAUCUUUUUACAAAGACACAUAAGAAACAAGCAGUGUUGGCUGCUGGAGAGUAAGACUGUGUGGCCCAGGCAGGGAAGGGGCAUUCCACUGUAUACUGUCUUGUGCCUUUUGAAUUUCCUAACAUAUGAAUGUAUUAGCUAUUCAGAAUAGUCUCCUGAUGAAGACAUAAAAAGACCUCUCUGAGCCAGGUGUGGUGACUUGAGCCUGUAAUUGCAGCUACUUGGAAAGCUGAAGCAGGAGGAUCACUUGAGGUCAGGAGUUCAAGACCAGCCUGGGCAAAACAGCAAAACCCUGUCCUUUAAAUAAAUAAAGCAAGACUCCAUUUCAUAAAUAAAUAGAUAGAUAGAUAAACCUCUCUGGCUGCAAAGAAAAGGCACAGUUUUAUUCCCAAGACUCUUUUUUUUUUUUUUGAGACUGGGUCUCACCCCCAUUGCCCAGACUGGUGUGCACUGGCACCAUCUCAGCUCACUGCAGCCUUGACUUCCCUGGCUUGGGUGAUUCUCCCACCUCAGCCUCCCAAGUAGCUGGGACUACAAGUACGUGCCACCAUGCCCAGCUAGUUUUUUGUAUUAUUUUUUAGUAGAGACAGGGUUUUGCCAUGUUGCCCAGGAUGGUCUCGAACUCUUGGACUCAAACAAUCCACCUGCCUCCGCCUCCCAAAGUGCUGGGAUUACAGGCAUGAGCGGCUGCGCCUGGCUAAGAAGAUUCUAAAAACUCAGGAGUUGGAGGUACCUGGUACUUCUGGCCAUGCAAGUGAAUGAGCAGGGCACCAGCCAGGCUGGAGAGGCUGUUUCAGAAGCAGAUGCUGGGCAGGGCUGCUGCUGUGGGCUCUGUCUGCACAGAAUUCUGAGCCAACAGUAUGCACUGCCAUGACUUACUUCUGGAUUUCUUCUCCCAUCCUGGCAGAAGGCUAUGUUAAGGGUGAGAAACCGUACUGAGAAAGUCAGGGUUAUUAGGUAAACAGUCCCAUUGGAUGCUGAGAUGUUAAUCUCUUUCCCAAGGAUGCUGGCAGGAGGCUGAAGUUACCUUCUUGCAGGAUUCAGACGAUGGAACGAAACAUGCUUGGAGGAAGAGUGCCCCCAAAAUGGCCUAGCCACAUUGCCCUAUGGAUCUGUUUGCAGCAUCCACUCAUACUCAAGCUGCUUGCUCACAUACCCUAAGAAAAGGGUCUCCUUGGGGAGUGGGGUUCCCCUAUGUCCCUUCCAGCCAGUAAGCCCCACAUCUACCUGCUCAGAGCUGUCAGCCAGAUUUGUGGUGCCCCUCUCUUGCAUAUAAGCCAACAACUAGGAGAGAAUAGAGAACACACUGUUUUUUUUUAAAAAGUUACUGCUGUUCUCAGAGAAAUAAGGAAAGACAUUGUAAAUGAAAGAACAACAGGAGACAGCUAAAAAGAUGAACAUUCAGAGAAUAAAAACACUCUUGGAAAGUAAAAAUAUGCUACAAGAGACCAGAUGAAGUAGCUCAUGCCUGUAAUCCCAGCACUCUGGGAGGCUGAGGUGGGAGCAUCACUUGAAGCCAGGAAUUUAAGACCAGCCCUGGCAACAUAGUGAGAACCUGUUUCUACAAAAAAAUAAAAAAAUUAAAAAUGAGUCAGGUACAGUGACACAUGCCUGCAGUCCCAGAUACUUGGGAGGCUGAGGCGAGAGGAUCACUUGAGCCCAGGAGUUCAAGGUUACAGUAAGCUAUGAUGGCACCACUGUGCUCUAGUCUGUGUGAAAUAGUGAGACCCCCUCCCCCCACCAAAAAAAAAGCUACCAGAAAUGAAAAUCUUAACAGAAGGUCUGAAAGAUACAAGUGAGAAAAUUUCCAGGAAAAUAGAGUAGAAAGACAAAGGAAUGGAAAAUUGGAGUGAAAAGAUAAGAACAUUAAAGGACCCAUCCCAGAUGCCAAUAGCCAAGUAAGAGGCAUCCCAGAAACAGGGAGCAGAGCAAUAGAAGGGAAGGAAAUAAAAAAAAAUUUCAAGGCAGUUUCCCAGAACUGAGAGAUGUGAAUUUCAAACUGAAAAAGCUCACCAACAAUAGUGAUAAAAAAAGGUCUGUGACUGUACUAAUAAAAAGAAUUCUUCCAGCCAAACUUCAAUCUAAUGUUGAGGGCUAGACAAUGUGUUUCAGAUAUGGGACAUGUCAGAAUUUUAUCUUCCACACCAGAACACCCACAAAGCUCCACCAAAACAAAGGUGUGAACUAAGAAAGAGGAGACCCUGGGUCUCAGGAACAGGAAGGAACAUAACAGAAGAUGGGUUGUAGGAGGAGCCUGGAUGAUGCCAGACAAAGGUGGUGGCUGAGAGGUAGAUGGCAGGGGGCCUCUGGUCCGUAAUGCUUCGAUGAUUGGGCAGGAUCCCUAUCCUGUGUCAAGGUCCCUCCUGCCCACCUGCUCUGUCUACUAACCUGCUGUCCUUGUCAGGUCCCAGCCCUACCUGUCCUGAUGCCUGACCAGCAGGAUGCAAGCCCAGGAGGCCAUCCAGGAUACCAGGACUGGGAGAGAAUGUGGGUACGGGGAAUACUCGCCCUGCUUGCAAAAGGUUUUACUAGGGUGGGGAGUUUCUAGAAAGUAGAGGGGCUGUGGGAUCAGUGGUAGUGGUGGGUGGCUUUUUUUGAGGGCAGAAGAUGCUAGAGGAGGUUGAACCUUAUAGGGGAUGAUCUAGGGAAUGGGGGAACUUGGGGAUGCUGGAGUAAGAGGGCUGCCUGCGUAGGGCCAGGAGUGGGGUCGGCAGAGAUGGUGCUGUCCAUGCGGAAGGCCUAGUCCCACCACACCCCAUCUCACUUACCUGGGGAGAAGAUGCCCCCAGCUUCCUCAUGCCACAGGGCCCUGGGGUGCUCCCUCCAUGAGGGACCCUCAGGCCCAGUCUUGCUGUGGGGAAAGAUCUGGUCCAGCACGGUCCCACAUCUCUGAAAUCACAGUGGUCACUGCUCCUCUGUGCCUGGCUGGGCUCAGGGAGGGACCUACCUGACCCCACCCAGCAACUUCCAGGGAAAGGAGGAGAACAUGGACCUGGGCAGGACUUACCUGGGCCUCCUCAGGCAGGAGGGUGGGUACAGACUCCUGGGUGGCAGCUAGAGGCCCAGACUCCAGGAAAUCUAGAGAGGAAAACUGGUAUCAGGCAGCCUGAGUGAGUUUCCACCCCACUGCCCUUCUUAGUGGUGUGCCAGGUGCUGGGAUGCAGAGAGGUGGGAUUCUUGGUUGUGGGCUUGGGUUGGGGAGGGCAGUGCAGGGUAGCUGAGGGCCCAGCUCAGGGGCUGGGUGAAGCAGAGUACCCUGGAAGGCCAGGGGUUGAGCUGCAGUGGGAUGAGAUGGGCUGAGGUUUGUGCCCCUGUAGCCGUAUGUGAACCAUGGGGCAAGGUGGUCAGCGGGGGUCAGAGGUAUUGUACAAGGGUCCACAUAGGAAUGGCAGGGUGUGAGCAGCUAGUUCAGGUGCCCUGCCUGGGAGGUGAAAGGGGUCAUACCCCUAACACUACGAGGUCCUCCCUCAGCAGCUCCUAAUUAUACCUCUGCCUGCUGUCUGUUCCCCAGUGACAAGCACAUAUUGCCUAACGCAUCUCCUUGGGGACUGAACACCACAUGCCAUCUGUACUGGGAAACCCCAACAGCCUGCUCCAUGCCAUGGGGUUCGUGGGUACAGGGCUGUGGCAGUCAGGCUUGGUGUGUGAGGGGUAGUGACAGCACUGGCUGCGGUGGAGGGGAGACCUGACUGGGUAGAAUGUGGGGGCUGCUGGCAGAUGGAAACCAUUCCAUUUAUAACAAACCUGGCCCAGUGGACUUCAGACUGACUGCUCAGGCCAGGUUCCCUGGCCCACCCAACCAGACCUUAGGCGCGCCCACCGUGCAUGCCCUCACCUGAGUCCUCUGUAACCUCUGACUCCUCUUUCACCUGCAGGCCCAGUGGUGAUUCCUGCAUAGUCCUAGGAGGUGUCUUGGGCCCAGGCUCUGGAGUUGGAGGCUCAGUUUCAGGUAGGGGCUGGAAACUGGAGGGCUCCAUCUUCUCUGAUAGGACCUCCUGGCCCUGCACCUGGACUGUGACCUGGGGAGGUGCCCCCACCAUCAGAAGUCCUACCAGAGAGUAAGGCUGGCCGCAACCUGGGGUUUGUGGGUGCCCAUCCCACUGUAGGAUCCCAGGGGCCUGCCUUGUAAAUACCUACUGACUAGGUCCUCCAAGGACCUACCUCCCCUAGGCCCUGAGCAAAGAAUGAAGGGACCACCUGCAGUCCCUCCCCUGCUCUGACAUCGUGGCCUUCCAGUACCUUCCCCAUAUUCCCCUAGCCUGCAGCUCCUAUGUCCACGUGACUGCAGGUGAUGCAGGAAUGGGCUGGGGAGUCUGGCCCUGGAAUCCCUCUGCCCUGGGCAGCCUUGCACAGGGUCUCUGUUGCAGGUGGCCACUUCUGUACCACAAGGGAGAACGUGUGUCUGGCAAAGCGUGGUGCUGCCCAGGGUGAGGCCGAGCUGGAUGAUGCUCCAGUCCUGAACCCCACUCGUGGACACUCACUCACCCAUCUCCGGGGUCCGCCCGGCUCCCGGCGCAGCCCAUCUACUAGGGCAGCAGCCUCCUCGGGGCUGCCUGGCCGCUGCCCCUGCACA
rnacentral:lncRNA from 1 species